GAUGAACGCUAGCGAUAGGCUUAACACAUGCAAGUCGAGGGGCAGCAUUGUCUUAGCUUGCUCAGGCUGAUGGCGACCGGCGCACGGGUGCGUAACGCGUAUGCAACUUGCCUCACAGAGGGGGAUAACCCGUCGAAAGACGGACUAAUACCGCGUACACUCUAUGUUGGGCAUCCAAUGUAGAGGAAAUGAACUUCGCUGUGAGAUAGGCAUGCGUCCCAUUAGCUAGUUGGUGAGGUAACGGCUCACCAAGGCGACGAUGGGUAGGGGAACUGAGAGGUUGAACCCCCACAAUGGUACUGAGACACGGACCAGACUCCUACGGGAGGCAGCAGUGAGGAAUAUUGGUCAAUGGGCGAGAGCCUGAACCAGCCAAGUCGCGUGAAGGAUGACUGUCUUAUGGAUUGUAAACUUCUUUUAUACGGGAAUAACAAGAGUCACGUGUGGCUCCCUGCAUGUACCGUAUGAAUAAGCAUCGGCUAACUCCGUG
rnacentral:rRNA from 1 species